rnacentral:rRNA from 1 species
UACGAAGGGGGCUAGCGUUGUUCGGAAUUACUGGGCGUAAAGGGCGCGUAGGCGGUGUGUCAAGUCAGGCGUGAAAGCCCCGGGCUCAACCUGGGAACCGCGCUUGAGACUGGCACGCUAGAGUUCGGGAGAGGAUGGUGGAAUUCCCAGUGUAGAGGUGAAAUUCGUAGAUAUUUGGGGAAGAACACCGAUGGCGAAGGCAGCCAUC